rnacentral:rRNA from 1 species
GACGAACGCUGGCGGCGUGCUUAACACAUGCAAGUCGAACGGAAAGGCCCUGCUUUUGUGGGGUGCUCGAGUGGCGAACGGAUGAGUAACACGUGAGUAACCUGCCCUUGACUUUGGGAUAACUUCAGGAAACUGGGGCUAAUACCGGAUAGGAGCUCCUGCUGCAUGGUGGGGGUUGGAAAGUUUCGGCGGUUGGGGAUGGACUCGCGGCUUAUCAGCUUGUUGGUGGGGUAGUGGCUUACCAAGGCUUUGACGGGUAGCCGGCCUGAGAGGGUGACCGGCCACAUUGGGACUGAGAUACGGCCCAGACUCCUACGGGAGGCAGCAGUGGGGAAUAUUGUACAAUGGGCGGAAGCCUGAUGCAGCAACGCCGCGUGCGGGAUGACGGCCUUCGGGUUGUAAACCGCUUUCGCCUGUGACGAAGCGUGAGUGACGGUAAUGGGUAAAGAAGCACCGGCUAACUACGUG